UACGUAGGGAGCAAGCGUUGUUCGGAUUUACUGGGCGUAAGGGCGCGUAGGCGGCGCGGUAAGUCACUUGUGAAAUCUCUGAGCUUAACUCAGAACGGCCAAGUGAUACUGCAGUGCUAGAGUGCAGGAAGGGGCAAUCGGAAUUCUUGGUGUAGCGGUGAAAUGCGUAGAUAUCAAAGAGGAACACCUGAGGCGAAGGCGGGUUGCUAGGCUGACACUGACGCUGGAUGCGCGAAAAGCUGGGGAGCAAACAGG
rnacentral:rRNA from 1 species